GUGAACGCUGGCGGUAGGCCUAACACCUGCAAGUCGAACGGCAGCACAGUAAGAGCUUGCUCUUACGGGUGGCGAGUGGCGGACGGGUGAGGAAUACAUCGGAAUCUACUUUUUCGUGGGGGAUAACGUAGGGAAACUUACGCUAAUACCGCAUACGACCUACGGGUGAAAGCAGGGGAUCUUCGGACCUUGCGCGAUUGAAUGAGCCGAUGUCGGAUUAGCUAGUUGGCGGGGUAAAGGCCCACCAAGGCGACGAUCCGUAGCUGGUCUGAGAGGAUGAUCAGCCACACUGGAACUGAGACACGGUCCAGACUCCUACGGGAGGCAGCAGUGGGGAAUAUUGGACAAUGGGCGCAAGCCUGAUCCAGCCAUACCGCGUGGGUGAAGAAGGCCUGCGGGUUGUAAAGCCCUUUUGUUGGGAAAGAAAAGCAGCAGGUUAAUACCCCGCUGUUCUGACGGUACCCAAAGAAUAAGCACCGGCUAACUUCGU
rnacentral:rRNA from 1 species